GACGAACCGUGCGAACGUUGUUCGGAUUCACUGGGCUUAAAGGGCGCGUAGGCGGGCAUCCAAGUCAGGGGUGAAAUCUUUCGGCCCAACCGGAAAAGUGCCUUUGAUACUGGGUGUCUCGAGUGAGGUAGGGGCAUGUGGAACUUCCGGUGGAGCGGUGAAAUGCGUAGAUAUCGGAAGGAACGCCGGUGGCGAAAGCGACGUGCUGGACCUCAACUGACGCUGAGGCGCGAAAGCUAGGGGAGCAAACGGG
rnacentral:rRNA from 1 species